rnacentral:lncRNA from 1 species
ACUCUUGCAGAUCUUCAAGCUCUUAUGAAUAGUGUACGAAAGGAGAUUACAUUUCUUCGCAAUCCAAGUAAAGAACCUCAAAUUGAUCUAGUGACCGAAGAAGCUAGACGCGAAAUUCAUAGCCUACAACAAGAGAUUAUUCGACUGAGAGAAGCAAGACAUGUAUCACAUACGACCCCUAUGGAUACUUCAAGGAUUAGUACGAAAGAACCAAAAGCGAGUAUGCCAGACAAGUUUGACGGAACAAGAGCCAACUU